CGCGCGGCGCGGCUCCCUMCAGCCCGGCCACAGCGCGGCCUGCCCAGCGGCGAGCAGGGCGACCCGCCGGCCGCGCGCCCCCGCCUUCUCCGGGUGGCAGGGGAGCGUGCGCGUGGGCUCUUCGUCCACUCGCAGUGGUCCCCGCUGACUCCGGCCCAACCCAGCCCAGCCCAGCCCGGCCUCACCCUCCUCCCSGCGCCCCUGCCCUCCCGCCUCCCAGCAAGUUCAGGAAAAAGAGUCCUGAUCGCUCCCUCCUUGGCUCCGCAGCUCGCUCCCUGCCAGCCCACCCCGGACACUCGCGGCCCGCCUGGGGAUCGGGACAGAUCGACUCACCCUCGCGCCACCGCUGCCUGCCUGCGGCCCCGGGGACCGAAAGUGAAAGUGGAGUCCCGGCAGCUGCGGGCGGGAGUGGAGGGACGCGACGGAUCCCUUGCCUGAAGCWAGACCUGACGAAGGGCAAACCUGGGAGUAGGGUCUGGCCACGGAGGCCAUCGUCUCUCCCCAGGGACGAAAUCUGUCAAUGAUUACUCCUUAUGGAAGCAUGCACUUGGAGUACACAGAAGGUAGCUGGUGUUUCAGGAAGGGACCAAAUAAGGGACCCAGGCUCGCUGUCCCCCAAGGCUGGAAGGGCUUGACGCCCAUUGGAAUCAGAGGGUGUCGAUCACCUCGCCUCUGCGAAUGGGCUGAGAGCUCGUGGCCCGCCUCAGAAACAGGAACUGCAAAAUACUCUGUAGUUGACAAACUGUGUGGUGGGAUUAUUUUCAGCGUAGAGUGGCUAAAUUAGGACAUGCUGCAUUAGCAGAGGGAGGGUUGUAGCAGGCCUCCAGAAUUUCCCUACUACGACCAAGGGGCACCGUACCCCUGAGGACUGGCUACUUCUCAAAUUAAAAUGUUCCCGCUCUUUUAUCAAGGACAACGACGAUUUCUUCGCUCUCCUUAGAACCUUAAAAAUUAGAAAAGGCUGUAUUUAAACAGUUGAGGUCACAAGCUAAGAAAACGAGCAUUCAAAUUACCAAAAGCUCCAAGUUGGUGAGUGGACGGUGGUCCCUGUGGUAGCAGCCCCCUUGAGUAUUGUUCUCAGGCUUUCACGUCCAGCCUCCUUCUUAGACUGAUCUUUCCUUUGAGAACUGAGGUUCUAAAUCACUGGAACAAUAUUUGUCAACAUUUUUAUUUUUCAAUCUUACGUCUUCUUUUGAAAAAUAUAUUUAGUUCCGUACAUUCUUCUCAGGACAUUUUGUAAUAURAAAAUUAACAUUCGGUUCUAGACUCAAUCAGGAUAGGAUCAAAACAAGGGGAGUAAGUUUGUUUGUUUGUUUUCAUUAAAAUUCAACAAGUAAUGGGGACUUUUGGAUCAGUUGGUUUCUGCACGUUCAGAACAUGGCAGGAGGUGUCAACUCUGAAUCACUGUCCUCUAAGGUCUACAGCCAUCUCUUGAUUGCUCCAGUUUGUCAGGAUAGAUUUCUUGUUCAAACCCCAUGCAUUUAUUUACCUGUAUAUUUAUGUUUUUGAAUUUGAUGSUUUCAGUUUUGUUUCUAGUAAAGCUUCUUUAAAAAAUAUUUCUUGAAGGUCAGGAGCGAAUGAUCCAAACAGACUGAUGCAGAAGACAACCGAAAAGGCAGGAAGAGGUCAGGGCCUGCACAUAAAUCUGGAA
ensembl:lncRNA